rnacentral:rRNA from 1 species
GACAGAGGGUGCAAACGUUGCUCGGAAUCACUGGGCGUAAAGGGCGUGUAGGCGGGAAGGCAAGUCGGUCGUGAAAUCCCUCGGCUCAACUGAGGAUCGUCGAUCGAUACUGCCGUUCUUGAGGAUUGCAGAGGAGACUGGAAUUCCCGGUGUAGCGGUGAAAUGUGUAGAGAUCGGGAGGAACACCGGUGGCGAAGGCGGGUCUCUGGGCAAUUCCUGACGCUGAGGCGCGAAAGCGUGGGGAGCAAACGGG